rnacentral:rRNA from 1 species
UGAACCUGCGGAAGGAUCAUUAAAGAGAUAGGGUCUUCAUGGCCCGACCUCCAACCCUCUGUUGUUAAAACUACCUUGUUGCUUUGGCGGGACCGUCUCGGUCUCCGAGCGCACUAACCCUCGGGUUGGUGAGCGCCCGCCAGAGUCCAACCAAACUCUUGUAUUAAACCAGUCGUCUGAGUAUAAAAUUUUAAUUAAAUUAAAACUUUCAACAACGGAUCUCUUGGUUCUCGCAUCGAUGAAGAACGCAGCGAAAUGCGAUAAGUAAUGUGAAUUGCAGAAUUCAGUGAAUCAUCGAAUCUUUGAACGCACAUUGCGCCCCUUGGUAUUCCGAGGGGCAUGCCUGUUCGAGCGUCAUUACACCACUCAAGCAUCGCUUGGUAUUGGGAACGGUCCGUCGAAAGGCGGGCCUUCCUCGAAGACCUCGGCGGGGUUCAACCAACUUCGGGCGUAGUAGAGUUAAAUCGAACGUCUUAUAAGCUUGGUCGGAUCUCAUUGCCGUUAAACCUUUAAAUUUUCUAGGUUGACCUCGGAUCAGGUAGGGAUACCCGCUGAACUUAAGCAUAUCAAUAAGCGG